ACAGUGGAUGCGAGCAUCUUUGUAGCAAGUUAGUAAGGGCAUACGGUGGAUGUCUUGGCACCAGGAGCCGAUGAAGGACGUAGGAGACUGCGAAAAGUCUAGGGGAGCUGUCAACCGAGCUGAGAUCCUAGAAUGUCCGAAUGGGGAAACCCGGCCCCAGUCAUGUGGGGUCACCCAUACCUGAACACAUAGGGUAUGUGGAGGGAACGCGGGGAAGUGAAACAUCUCAGUACCCGCAGGAAGAGAAAACAACCGUGAUUCCGUGAGUAGUGGCGAGCGAAAGCGGAUGAGGCUAAACCGCGUCUGUGUGAUACCCGGCAGGGGUUGCAUUCGCGGGGUCGUGGGACCUCUUGGCUAGUUCUGCCGAGCUAGCAAACAGUCAGAAAACACUGUGGUUAGAGGAACGUGUCUGGAAAGCACGAGCGUAGAGGGUGAAACUCCCGUACUCGAAAACCCGGUGUCUGUUUAGAGUGUUCCCAAGUAGCAGCGUACUCGUGAAAUUCGCUGUGAAUCUGGCGGGACCACCCGCUAAGCCUAAAUACUCCCUGGUGACCGAUAGCGGACUAGUACCGUGAGGGAAAGAUGAAAAGUACCCCGGGAGGGGAGUGAAAUAGUACCUGAAACCGUGUGCCUACAAUCCGUCGGAGCCUUUAGGGGUGACGGCGUGCCUUUUGAAGAAUGAGCCUGCGAGUUAGUGCUACGUGGCGAGGUUAACCCGUGUGGGGUAGCCGUAGCGAAAGCGAGUCUGAAUAGGGCGCUUGAGUCGCGUGGUCUAGACCCGAAGCGGUGUGAUCUAGCCAUGGCCAGGGUGAAGCGCGGGUAAGACCGCGUGGAGGCCCGAACCCACCAGGGUUGAAAACCUGGGGGAUGAGCUGUGGUUAGGGGUGAAAGGCCAAUC
rnacentral:rRNA from 1 species